rnacentral:siRNA from 1 species
AAUAGACUUGAUUAUGGGCCGAGU